rnacentral:rRNA from 1 species
UACGGGGGGGGGCAAGCGUUGUUCGGAAUUACUGGGCGUAAAGGGCUCGUAGGCGGCCAACUAAGUCAGACGUGAAAUCCCCCAGGCUCAACCUGGGAACUGCGUCUGAUACUGGAUGGCUUGAAUCCGGGAGAGGGAUGCAGAAUUCCAGGUGUAGCGGUGAAAUGCGUAGAUAUCUGGAGGAACACCGGUGGCGAAGGCGGCAUCCUGGACCGGUAUUGACGCUGAGGCGCGAAAGCUAGGGGAGCAAACGGG